GAUCAUGGCUCAGGAUGAACGCUAGCGACAGGCCUAACACAUGCAAGUCGAGGGGCAGCGGAGAGGUAGCAAUACCUUUGCCGGCGACCGGUGCACGGGUGAGUAACACGUAUGCAAUCCACCUGUAACAGGGGGAUAACCCGGAGGAAUCCGGACUAACACCCCAUAAUAUGGGCGCUCCGCAUGGAGAGCCCAUUAAAGAGAGCAAUUUUGGUUACAGACGAGCAUGCGCU
rnacentral:rRNA from 1 species